GAGGGUAUAGCUCAGUGGUAGAGUGCCUGACUUACAUGCAGGAGGCCCUGGGUUCAAUCCCCAGUACCGGAG